rnacentral:rRNA from 1 species
AUCCAGACUCCUACGGGAGGCAGCAGUGGGGAAUAUUGCACAAUGGGGGAAACCCUGAUGCAGCGACGCCGCGUGAGCGAUGAAGUAUUUCGGUAUGUAAAGCUCUAUCAGCAGGGAAGAAGAUGACGGUACCUGACUAAGAAGCCCCGGCUAACUACGUGCCAGCAGCCGCGGUAAUACGUAGGGGGCAAGCGUUAUCCGGAUUUACUGGGUGUAAAGGGAGCGUAGACGGCGAUGCAAGCCAGAUGUGAAAGCCCGGGGCUCAACCCCGGGACUGCAUUUGGAACUGUGUGGCUGGAGUGUCGGAGAGGCAGGCGGAAUUCCUAGUGUAGCGGUGAAAUGCGUAGAUAUUAGGAGGGACACCAGUGGCGAAGGCGGCCUGCUGGACGAUGACUGACGUUGAGGCUCGAAAGCGUGGGGAGCAAACAGGAUUAGAUACCCGCGUAC